AAACAGAAAUGAAAUGGCAGGCUUUCUCCAGUCUGGCUGAAGCUGCUUAUGAAGCUGCAGACGUUGCUGAUGAUCAGGAAGAACCAGCUACUUACUGCUUAUCUUCUUCAUUUGAACUCAUAGUUCAGAAGCUCCUAGAGACUACAGACAGACCUGAUGGACACCAGAACAACCUGAGGAGUUCUGCAUAUGAAUCUCUGAUGGAAAUUGUGAAAAACAGUGCCAAGGAUUGUUAUCCUGCUGUCCAGAAAACGACUUUGGUCAUCAUGGAACGACUGCAACAGGUUCUUCAGAUGGAGUCACAUAUCCAGAGCACAUCCGAUAGAAUCCAGUUCAAUGACCUUCAGUCUUUACUCUGCGCAACUCUUCAGAAUGUUCUUCGGAAAGUGCAACAUCAAGAUGCUUUGCAGAUCUCUGAUGUGGUUAUGGCCUCCCUGUUAAGGAUGUUCCAAAGCACAGCUGGGUCUGGGGGAGUACAAGAAGAUGCCCUGAUGGCAGUUAGCACACUGGUGGAAGUGUUGGGUGGUGAAUUCCUCAAGUACAUGGAGGCCUUUAAACCCUUCCUGGGCAUUGGAUUAAAAAAUUAUGCUGAGU
rnacentral:sRNA from 1 species